GCGCCCUUAGCUCAGUUGGAUAGAGCGUUGGACUACGAAUCCAAAGGUCCUAGGUUCGAGCCCUAGAGGGCGCGCCA
rnacentral:tRNA from 3 species